CAGAGUGUGUUCAGUCCUUUCAGAGCCACUGACACGCAGCACAAUGACGAUGGUACUGAUUCUACUGCUGGGGACACUGGGACUCCUCGCUCACCAGUCCUUUGGGGAAAUCGUCCUGACUCAGUCUCCAGGAUCUCAGUCUGUUUCUCCAGGACAAUCUGUUACUCUCACCUGUACAUCCAGUCAGAGUGUUAGCAGUUACCUCCACUGGUACCUGCAGAAAUCUGGAGAAGCUCCUAAACUCCUGAUCUAUAAUGCAGCUUCUCGUCAGUCUGGGAUUCCAGAUCGUUUCAGUGGCAGUGGAUCUGGUUCACAAUACAGUCUAAAAAUCUCUGGAGUUCAGUCUGAAGAUGCAGGAGAUUAUUACUGUCAGCAGAGUAAUAGCUUUCCGUACACACAGUGUUAUAGCGCCGUACAAAAACCUCCCUCAGCUGUAGAGGAAGUGCUCUGACUCAGAAACACACACUGAUCUGAGAACAGCUGCAGAGCUGCUAAAGCUGCACUCCACUGAACAUCAUCAAACGUGCUGAUGUUUAAAACAUAAUCAUUCCUGAAAAGCAGAAAACUCUUCAUCAGCUGUUCCUUCUGUGAUGAAAAAUCAGCUGAUGUGUGUAAUGGUAUAUGAUGAUUUCCACCUUCUGCUAAGAGGAGCAGUGUCUACUCCAUACUACUGUAACA